rnacentral:rRNA from 1 species
CUAUGCGACCGUACCGCAAACCGACACUGGUGCGCGAGAUGAGUAUUCUAAGGCGCUUGAGAGAACUCAGGAGAAGGAACUCGGCAAAUUGACACCGUAACUUCGGAAGAAGGUGUGCCCUAUUAGUGUGUAGUGAACAACGAAGCAUGAAUGGGUUGCAAAAAAUCGGUGGCUGCGACUGUUUAUUAAAAACACAGCACUCUGCAAACACGAAAGUGGACGUAUAGGGUGUGACGCCUGCCCGGUGCUGGAAGAUUAAAUGAUGGGGUGCAAGCUCUUGAUUGAAGUCCCAGUAAACGGCGGCCGUAACAAUAACGGUCCUAAGGUAGCGAAAUUCCUUGUCGGGUAAGUUCCGACCUGCACGAGUGGCGUAACGAUGGCCACACUGUCUCCUCCUGAGACUCAGCGAAGUUGAAAUGUUUGUGAUGAUGCAAUCUCCCCGCGGAAAGACGGAAAGACCCCAUGAACCCUUACUGUAGCUUUGUAUUGGACUUUGAACAGAUCUGUGUAGGAUAGGUGGGAGGCUUUGAAGCAGGGUCGCUAGAUCUUGUGGAGCCAACGUUGAAAUACCACCCUGGUGUGUUUGAGGUUCUAACCUAGGUCCAUUAUCUGGAUCGGGGACAGUGCAUGGUAGGCAGUUUGACUGGGGCGGUCUCCUCCCAAAGCGUAACGGAGGAGUUCGAAGGUACGCUAGUUACGGUCGGACAUCGUGACGAUAGUGCAAUGGCAUAAGCGUGCUUAACUGCGAGACUGACAAGUCGAGCAGAUGCGGAAGCAGGACAUAGUGAUCCGGUGGUUCUGUAUGGAAGGGCCAUCGCUCAACGGAUAAAAGGUACUCUGGGGAUAACAGGCUGAUACCGCCCAAGAGUUCAUAUCGACGGCGGUGUUUGGCACCUCGAUGUCGGCUCAUCUCAUCCUGGGGCUGUAGCCGGUCCCAAGGGUAUGGCUGUUCGCCAUUUAAAGAGGUACGUGAGCUGGGUUUAAAACGUCGUGAGACAGUUUGGUCCCUAUCUUCCGUGGGCGCUGCAGAUUUGAGGAAGCCUGCUCCUAGUACGAGAGGACCGGAGUGGACACACCUCUGGUGUAUCGGUUGUCACGCCAGUGGCAUUGCCGAGUAGCAAAGUGUGGAAGAGAUAACCGCUGAAAGCAUCUAAGCGGGAAACUCGUUUCAAGAUGAGAUCUGCCGGGGCCUUGAGCCCCCUAAAGAGUCGUUCAAGACCAGGACGUUGAUAGGUCAGGUGUGGAAGCCAAAAUAAAAAGAAAAGAA